GAUGAACGCUGGCGGCGUGCUUAACACAUGCAAGUUGACAUGAGUGGCGAAUGGGUGAGUAAUACGAGGGUAACCUGCCCUCCUUUUUGGGAUAAGCCUUGGAAACGGGGCCUAAUACAGAAUAAAGGGGGACGGGCUCGCGGACUUUCAGCUUGUUGGUGGGGUUAUGGCCUACCAAGGCGGGGACGGGUAGCCGGCCUGAGCGGGCGACAGGCCACAUUAGGACUGAGAUACGGAGCAGACUCCUACGGGGGGCAGCAGUGGGGGAUAUUGCACAAUGGGCGAAGACGUGAUGCAGAGACGCCGUGUGGGGGAUGAGGGCUUUCGGGUUGUAAACCUCUUUCGCUAUCGAGCGGGUAGGUGGAGAAGAAGCGCCGGCUAACUACGUGCCAGCAGCCGCGGUAAUGC
rnacentral:rRNA from 1 species